rnacentral:tRNA from 1 species
UCCGUUGAGGACUAGUGGUUAGGCCACAGCGCUCUCACUACCGCGGCCCGGGUUUGAAUCCCGGCCAGGGAA